AAUAGUCUGGUUCUUACUCUGCCUCUACUGAGCUGCAUGACCCUGGAUUCUGCAUGUGUCACAUUUUCCUCAACUAUGGAAAAUGAGCUCCAGAAAGUGGUUGAAGGUGUUUUCAAAGGAAACUGCUAGAAGCUGAUUCUGGAAACCCUUGGCAUAAUUAAACACCAGAGAUUCACUGAGAACCAGAGGAGCUCCAGAUCUGCUAUAACUUGGGUUAAUCAUUCCUUCUCUACUGUCAUGUUUUCAAGUCACCAAAAAGGAGCAACUGACCUAACACUCUCCCUGAGUCAUAAAGUUUGUCUGAGUGAGCAGCAAAAUGAAUAUGAAGCUGUCCUCAUGCCUGAGUGCUUACUUCUAACUUAAGAAUUCCCCAAGGAGCUGGCACUCAACAAGCUUCUGAUAAGACAGACCUGGAACCAUAUGCCAUUCUAGCACUUACUUACUGAGACUGUGGGCAAGUUAGCUAAUGUAACUGAGCUUCAGAGGCUUCCUGUGUAGAAUGGAGCUGGAAGUACCUGCCUCACAGUUAUGUGGGUUAAAUGAUGAAUGCAGAAUGGCUGAUGAAGAGGACCACUCUGACACCAACAAAGAAUGACCAGAGAAUACACCAUCAACGUUCACAAAUGCAUCCACAGAACAGGCUUCAAGAAGCAUGCCCUUGGACACCCAAAGAGACCCAGGAAUAUGCCAUGAAAGAGAGAAAGGCUCCAGAUGUGUGCAUUGAUACAAAGCUUAACAAAGCUGUCUGGGCCAGGGAGUAAGAAAUGUCCCAUAUUAAAUCCUUGUGCAGUUGUCCAGAAAACGUAAUCAGGAUAAAGAUUCACCAAACAAUCUUUACACAUUGGUUACCUAUGUUUGUACUAGUCACCAAUUUCAAAAGUCUACAGAAACUCAACGUGAAUAAUGAGAACCUCAUUGUUAAAUAAAGUUAUGAAACUGCCAGAGGGGAGGAGGCUGGGAGAUGGGCAAAAUGGGCAAAGACAAGUGGGAUGUCUAGGCUCCCAGGUAUGGAAUAAAUAAGUCACAAGUAUAAAAGUCACAGGGAAUCCAGUCAAUGAUAUUUUUGAUAGCAUUAUACCGCAACAGAUAGCUACAUUUGUGGUGAAUAUAACUCAUCCAUGUGGUUUGAAGAAAGGAGGUAUGUCUUUUUGGUAGAGUGCUUCUGGAAAGAAUGAAGUAAAAGAACAUAUUAACCUAGGGGAAACAUGAUCUUUUCCUAUUUCCUUAUCAGAACUGCCCCUUAACUGUACCAGGUAAGUAAGGAUGAAACCCACACUUCUGCACUAAUCAAAGGUUUUUGUGGUCUGUUUGAAUACCCUUGGUUUCUUCUAAAGUCAAACUGACCCUCCCAACCCUACCCUCACAAGGCAGGGCAGGUUCCCCAACUCUCACAAAAAGCCAGAUAAACCAAACCUUAACAUCUGUCUGAUGCCUUCCCCUCCUCGUUUGUAUAUCACUCCAGAGCCCUUGGAUGGAAGGGAUUUUGCUAUCCUAUUCAUUAGUUCCCUUCAGCUAUUGGGCACAGGCUCUGCUCUUCCCACAUGGCCUCUUGGAGGGCAUGUGACAGCACCCCUGAUGCUCUGAAACAAAUGAGAGCUUCCAAGGCAGCAAAGCAUCCUACCU